GACAGAGGAUGCAAGCGUUAUCCAGAAUGAUUGGGCGUAAAGCAUCUGUAGGUGGCUUUUCAAGUAUGCCGUCAAAUCCUAGGGCUCAACCCUGGACUGGCGGUGGAAACUACCAAGAUGGAGUACGAUAGGGUCAGAGGGCUCAUAGAGCCGGUGGAGUGGUGAAAUACAUAGAGAUCAGAAAGAACACCAAUGGUGAAAGCACUCUACUGGGCCGACACUGAUACUGAGAGACGAAAUCUAGGGGAGCAAAUGGG
rnacentral:rRNA from 1 species